UACGGCCACAUGACGUUGAAACACCGGUCCCCGUACGAUCACCGAAGUUAGGCAACAUCGAGCUUGGUCAGUGCCUCGAAGGGUGACCGCUUGGAAAUACCAGGUGCUGU